UUUGUGUAUAACGUUAUUGAUUUUUUUCUAAUAUUUGACCAUUCGUUUUAUUCAAAAAAUUUACGUAACUAUCAUUUAUUUUGUUGUGACAUGAUUCGUCAUCAAAUGUUCCUUACGCAUGACAUAAAUAUUUUUAUAUUUAUACAAAAAUUUUGAAUAAAACGAAUGGUCAAACGUUGGUCGAAAAGUCAAUGGCAUCAUACAUU
rfam:Oryza glaberrima chromosome 9 Oglab09_0123_8, whole genome shotgun sequence.